rnacentral:rRNA from 1 species
UACGAAGGGUGCAAGCGUUAAUCGGAAUUACUGGGCGUAAAGGGUGCGUAGGCGGUUGUUUAAGUCUGCUGUGAAAUCCCCGGGCUCAACCUGGGAAUUGCGUUGGAGACUGCAAGGCUGGAGUCUGGCAGAGGGGGGUAGAAUUCCACGUGUAGCAGUGAAAUGCGUAGAGAUGUGGAGGAACACCGAUGGCGAAGGCAGCCCCCUGGGUCAAGACUGACGCUCAUGCACGAAAGCGUGGGGAGCAAACAGG